AGGGUUCGAUUCUGGCUCAGGAUGAACGCUGGCGGCGUGCAUAACACAUUCAAGUCGAACGAUGAACGGACUUCGGCCCGGGAUUAGUGGCGGACGGGUGAGUAACGCGUGAGCAACCCGCCCCCGGAGUGAGGGAUAACAAGACGGAAACAUCUGCUAAUACCUCAUAUAGCAUCGGGUUCGCAUGUACCUGGUAUGAAAGGUUUACUGCUCCGGGAUGGGCUCGCGUCUGAUUAGAUAGUUGGUGAGGUAACGGCCCACCAAGUCUGCGAUCAGUAGCCGGACUGAGAGGUUGAACGGCCACAUUGGAACUGAGAUACGGUCCAGACUCCUACGGGAGGCAGCAGUGGGGAAUAUUGGGCAAUGGGCCGAAAGCCUGACCCAGCGACGCCGCGUGAAGGAAGAAGGUCUUCGGAUUGUAAACUUCUGUUAACUAGGGACGAAACAAAUGACGGUACCUAGAGAGAAAGCCACGGCUAACUACGUGCCAGCCGCGGC
rnacentral:rRNA from 1 species